UGAAUGCACUUAUUGUAAGUCGCUUUGGAUAAAAGCGUCCGCUAAAUGACAUGUA
rfam:Gasterosteus aculeatus cont1.005642, whole genome shotgun sequence.